rnacentral:tRNA from 4 species
GGAAGCGUAGCUCAGCUGGUUAGAGUGCCUGCUUCACACGCAGGAGGUCCGCGGUUCGAGCCCGCGCGUUUCCACCA